rnacentral:lncRNA from 1 species
GCGGAACUUGGGGACUGGCAAAACAGUCAGGAAUUCAGGACACAGAAAUGAAUUUGAGGAACAGGAAUCCUAGACAACUGUAGGAACGGAAAGGGUUCGCCUUUUCCUGCCUACUGAUGUGGUCUGUGUGAAGGCAGUAUAUGACACUUGCCAAAGGCUAAGGACUCGUGCCGCACAGUAUAACUAGUCAUUGGAGUUCAGAAGCAAGGCAAAAGCCAAGAUGACUUCUGGUGAUUCAAGAUGCAGUGAAUGGCCUUGGCUUCUGUGGUGUCUAAACAAGAUCUAAGUGUUUGCUCUACAGCACUUGAUUCUGCCACCUUCAGGGAAGUUGGAACAAUAUUCUCAUUUGCCCUUUCCACAAGGGUCAGUCUUUAUAUGACUGGGAUAGAUAUUCUCCUAAAUGAUGGAUGUGUCUGAGGCCCGUCAGUUACUGUCAAUCUGGUUUAGCCUACAUGAUGAGGUGGUUUAUUGGAGUGUGGCUACUGCACAUACUACAGCUUCUUGGAAUCACAGCUAUUCAUCCAACGAUGUUAUGCUUCAUGGAUGGGAGGUACGGAAUAUCACAUUCUCUGAAGAAUCAAAACUUUGGGUGAUCCAACAGGCCACUGAACAUCAACAAAAGUUGGGCCCAUCAUACAACAAAAGUGUCAUUAUCUGUCAUCAUCCUAGUCAUCCUUCUUUGGAUAUAUUCCACCUUGUCAGUGUCUCCACCCCAACCCUACAUAUGACAACCAGAAGAGGACUGAAUACUCCCAAUGUCUGAAAAGAUGAAAAGCAUACCUUAACCUGAUUAAUGUCUUG